UACGUAGGGGGCAAGCGUUGUCCGGAAUCAUUGGGCGUAAAGAGCGUGUAGGCGGCUCGAUAAGUCUGCUGUGAAAGUCCAGGGCUCAACCCUGGAAGGCCGGUGGAAACUGUCGGGCUAGAGUCCGGAAGAGGCGAGUGGAAUUCCCGGUGUAGCGGUGAAAUGCGCAGAUAUCAGGAAGAACACCCGUGGCGAAGGCGGCUCUCUGGGACGGUACUGACGCUGAGACGCGAAAGCGUGGGAGCGAACAGG
rnacentral:rRNA from 1 species